UGGGGAAUAUUGCACAAUGGGGGAAACCCUGAUGCAGCGACGCCGCGUGAACGAAGAAGGUAUUCGUAUCGUAAAGUUCUGUCCUAUGGGAAGAUAAUGACAGUACCAUAGAAGAAAGCUCCGGCUAAAUACGUGCCAGCAGCCGCGGUAAUACGUAUGGAGCGAGCGUUGUCCGGAAUUAUUGGGCGUAAAGGGUACGCAGGCGGUUUAAUAAGUCGAAUGUUAAAGAUCGGGGCUCAACCCCGCAAAGCAUUGGAAACUGAUAAACUUGAGUAGUGGAGAGGAAAGUGGAAUUCCUAGUGUAGUGGUGAAAUACGUAGAUAUUAGGAGGAAUACCAGUAGCGAAGGCGACGUUCUGCACACAAACUGACGCUGAGGUACGAAAGCGUGGGGAGCAAACAGG
rnacentral:rRNA from 1 species